rnacentral:rRNA from 1 species
AUACGGAGGAUCCGAGCGUUAUCCGGAUUUAUUGGGUUUAAAGGGUGCGCAGGCGGCCCUUUAAGUCAGCGGUUAAAUCGUGGGGCUCAACCCCAUUCUGCCGUUGAUACUGGGUGGCUUGAUUGCGGUCGAGGUUGGCGUACUUCGUUGUGUAGCGGUGAAAUGCAUAGAUAUGACGAAGAACACCGAUUGCGUAGGCAGCUGACCAGACCGCAAAUGACGCUCAUGCACGAAAGUGCGGGGAUCGAACAGGAUUAGAUACCCUGGUAGUCCGCACAGUAAACGAUGAAUACUUGUUUUCGGCGAUAUAAUGUCGGAGGCAAAGCGAAAGCGAUAAGUAUUCCACCUGGGGAGUACGCCGGCAACGGUGAAACUUAAAGGAAUUGACGGGG